rnacentral:misc_RNA from 1 species
GUAUCUUUUAUAUAUUUUUUUUUAAUUUCCUGCAAUAAAUUUUUUGAAAUUGAAUCCGUUUGAAUAUAAUCAAAAGAAUACUUAGAAGUGCUUUUUAGCUUUUUUGUUGGAUAUUCUUCAAACCUUAUUAUUUUUAUAUUUUCAAGUUCAAAUAAUUGUUUAGUUGUGCCCUUACUAGCUAUUGCUUUUCUCAAUAUAGAGAGAGUGUUUGUCUUAAGAUUCCUUUGGCUUUCUUCUUCUAGCUUGGAUAGGCUCUUUGAUAUAUUUUAUUCCUUCCUAG